AGCGAACGCUGGCGGCAGGCCUAACACAUGCAAGUCGAGCGCCCGUAGCAAUACGGGAGCGGCAGACGGGAGAGUAACACGUGGGAACGUACCCUUCAGUUCGGAACAACCCAGGGAAACUUGGGCUAAUACCGGAUACGUCCGUAAGGAGAAAGAUUUAUCGCUGAAGGAUCGGCCCGCGUCUGAUUAGCUAGUUGGUGGGGUAAUGGCCCACCAAGGCGACGAUCAGUAGCUGGUCNGAGAGGAUGAUCAGCCACAUUGGGACUGAGACACGGCCCAAACUCCUACGGGAGGCAGCAGUGGGGAAUAUUGGACAAUGGGCGCAAGCCUGAUCCAGCCAUGCCGCGUGAGUGAUGAAGCCCUAGGUUGUAAAGCUCUUUACCCGGGAAGAUAAUGACUGUACCGGGAGAAUAGGCCCCGGCUAACUUCGUGCCAGCAGCCGCAGU
rnacentral:rRNA from 1 species